UCCCUUAAAUAAAAACAACAUCCCUCUCAAAGCAUAAAUAAAAAAAUUUUUUGUCGAAGUAAACACGCUUAACUUGUCCAUAAACGCCAUGGAGAAAAAAGAAUGCAUAGAAAAAAAAAAACUAAUUGAAUAACAAUAACAACAACAACAACAACAAAGUAGUUUUUUACUAUAUAAUCGCUGGUACGCGCUAAUGUUUUUUAAAAGAAUAAAACGAAAAAUAUAUGGAGAAGUAAAAGUGUCUACGCUCUUUUCUUCUACAUUUAUGUAAAGUCUAAAGUAAAAUAAGUUUCAAUAGAAAAAAUAACUUUACGUUCUCCUCUCUUGUAAUCGUGCCGUUUGAUAUAUGCAUGCGUUUGUGUGCGUAAAUGUUAAAUAUUCUCUGAACUCGCUCAUUAAAUACUUUGUGUUUCGAGUCAAGCAAAUAAAACCACCUAAACCUCCUACUUAACUUUACUCAAACGAAAAAAAAAAAGAA